UCAUCACAGCCUGGUUGCCCGGGUGCCUGGGACCUUCAAAGCCGCAGCCCUGCUGCAGCCAGCAGCCAAGGUCAUCAAAGAGGGAGAAGACAUCAGGCAGAUGAGGCAGCCCGGAGGCUACUACCCGUCUUGAGGCACUGAUGAUCCACCUCCUGUGAGCAGAUGGAGGUCAAGAGUGGCAGCUGAAAACCAGGCCAAAGAGGCCGAACAGAGGCAUCUUCAGAGCAAUAAUACCAAAAAGUCAACUAAGAAAAAACUCUGGCCAG